AGCGAACGUUAGCGGCGGGCCUAACACAUGCAAGUCGAGCGAGAAAGUGGCUUCGGCCAUCAGUAAAGCGGCGGACGGGUGAGUAACACGUAGGUAAUCUUCCCUCGAGCGGGGGACAACGUCCCGAAAGGGACGCUAAUACCGCAUACGUUCUCCGAGAUCCCGGUCUUGGAGAGGAAAGCUAGGUAGCAAUAUCCGGCACUCGAGGAGGAGCCUGCAUCGCAUCAGCUAGUUGGUGGGGUAACGGCCUACCAAGGCGAAGACGCGUAGCUGGUCU
rnacentral:rRNA from 1 species